AGCGAACGCUGGCGGCAGGCUUAACACAUGCAAGUCGAACGGGCUUCUUCGGAAGUCAGUGGCAGACGGGUGAGUAACACGUGGGAACGUGCCCUUCGGUUCGGAAUAACUCAGGGAAACUUGAGCUAAUACCGGAUACGCCCUUUUGGGGAAAGGUUUACUGCCGACGGAUCGGCCCGCGUCUGAUUAGCUUGUUGGUGGGGUAACGGCCUAUCAAGGCGACGAUCAGUAGCUGGUCUGAGAGGAUGAUCAGCCACACUGGGACUGAGACACGGCCCAGACUCCUACGGGAAGCAGCAGUGGGGAAUAUUGGACAAUGGGCGCAAGCCUGAUCCAGCCAUGCCGCGUGAGUGAUGAAGGCCUUAGGGUUGUAAAGCUCUUUUGUCCGGGACGAUAAUGACGGUACCGGAAGAAUAAGCCCCGGCUAACUUCGUG
rnacentral:rRNA from 1 species